ACUCCUACGGGAGGCAGCAGUGGGGAAUUUUGGACAAUGGGCGCAAGCCUGAUCCAGCCAUGCCGCGUGCGGGAAGAAGGCCUUCGGGUUGUAAACCGCUUUUGUCAGGGAAGAAACGGUCUGAGCUAAUACUUUGGACUAAUGACGGUACCUGAAGAAGAAGCACCGGCUAACUACGUGCCAGCAGCCGCGGUAAUACGUAGGGUGCGAGCGUUAAUCGGAAUUACUGGGCGUAAAGCGUGCGCAGGCGGUUGUGUAAGACAGGUGUGAAAUCCCCGGGCUUAACCUGGGAACUGCGCUUGUGACUGCACAGCUAGAGUAUGGCAGAGGGGGGUGGAAUUCCACGUGUAGCAGUGAAAUGCGUAGAGAUGUGGAGGAACACCGAUGGCGAAGGCAGCCCCCUGGGCCAAUACUGACGCUCAUGCACGAAAGCGUGGGGAGCAAACAGGAUUAGAUACCCUGGUAGUCCACGCCCUAAACGAUGUCGACUAGGUGUUCGGUGAGGAGACUCAUUGAGUACCGCAGCUAACGCGUGAAGUCGACCGCCUGGGGAGUACGGUCGCAAGAUUAAAACUCAAAGGAAUUGACGGGGACCCGCACAAGC
rnacentral:rRNA from 1 species